GACGGAGGGUGCAAACGUUGUCCGGAAUCACUGGGCGUAAAGCGCAUGUAGGUGGUUUGAUAAGUCUGGUAUUAAAGCCCGAUGCUUAACAUCGGAUCGUACCAGAUACUGUCUGACUUGAGGAUAGCAGGGGUAAGCGGAACUUUGAGUGUAGGAGUGAAAUCCGUAGAUAUUCAAAGGAACACCAAUGGCGAAGGCAGCUUACUGGGCUAUUUCUGACACUGAGAUGCGAAAGCGUGGGGAGCAAACGGG
rnacentral:rRNA from 1 species